GCUUAGGAAUGAAGCAGAGGUCACACUGUCUGUGACAAAGGGCGUACCAGCUUUUGGAACUGUUCACGUGGACAGACACCUGGAUAAAAGUAUAACCAACAAGGCCCCGCUGUGGGAUAGGACUGUUAUCCUCAGGCCUGUAACCAUCCAUCCGGACCUCAGGCUCUCCAGAGUCUUGAUUUAGGGCUUUUGUAGAAACACUGUACCUCAGUACUUUGAGAAAGAAAGAACCCAUGAAGGCCAGCUGUGGUGCCAUGCAUCUGUACUCUCAGCACUCCAGAGGCAGACAGAGGUCGGUGGAGCUCUAUGAGUUCAAAACCUGGCAAGUUCCAUGCCACUCAGGGCUACAUUCCCUGCUCAUGAAGGCGUCUAAAUUGGCUCGAGAGGAGGAGAUAGGAGUCUCAGUAGCUCCUGCACCCCAAAAACUAUUCAAAGAGUUCUCUGGAUCCUCUGCUUGGGAGGUCUCCUUCCCCCAAAAGGGACAUCGUGGCCCAGCUUGGCAGGGAGCUGGGAAGCCAAUGCUGACGAGAGGUGACCCCACCUUGAACUCUGCUGGCAAGGAAGUGCGGUCCAUAAGGAGAACAGGAGUCUGGGCUUCUUCACUCUCUUGGCCGGACCGUCAAUACUUUGAGGCAGACCCUGAACUUCUUGGGCUCAAAGAACAGGGCUGA
rnacentral:lncRNA from 1 species